rnacentral:lncRNA from 1 species
AUGCACCGAGCUGCGGGGAGUGUCCUGGGUUUCCAGCACUCCCAGUUUAAGCAAAACAGUAAUUACCAGUCCUGUGGGCUCCAUGAAGCGGCAGGAGUAGCUGUCAGCCGGGCGCAACGCUGUCAUGCCUUGUCCAGGGCUGGGGGAAAGGGACGUGGAACUCCUCCUCUGCCUCUCCGUCUCCGCUCGGAUGCCCAGAGUACUUUAGGCUUCAGUCAGUCUUCCCCUGCAUUUCUUCUUGGUCAAGUCUUGGACCAGCAGGUUAGCCCAGAUGAGGUCCCACUUCCAAGGUCUUGGCCAUCUGAGAGAAUGCUGUGGUUCCAGUCCUGUUUAAUGUCAUGCUGAAGAGUCUGCCUGAGGCCAAGCUGGUCAGGAGAGGGCUUUGGAGAGAUUGAUUUCUUCGGAAUAAAUGAAGAAAGUAACUAUGAAAGCA